GACUUAACUAACAACAAGAUGGCUUUGUGUUGGAGCUCAUUUAUUCAUAUUUAAGAAAUAAGAGGUCGGCCUACUUGUUUGACAGACAAAAUUAGGUUAUAGGCUGUUAUUUCCAUAGAUUUGUCAGCCAAUUCCACCACCCACCAUGCACUCUUUAUAUAGCCUACCAGUAAAGGGAUGUUCAGUUAAAACCAGGACUCGAAUUGAGGGGGUAUGAGAUGGUAUGCCAUAGGCCUACCUUUUUUAAAAGAAAAUGGAAGAAAAAAAACACAGGCCUACCCCUUGCUAGCUUAUGAUUUUGAAGAAAAUAAAACUGGUUUUGUUCACUUUGGACUGGAAUGCUUUACGCUAGAAAACAACCUUUGAAAUACCUGGGAAAGACUUGACUUCCAUAUGGGGAUAUCAUUGUUUACUUUCUUUGACAUAUCUUUGACAUGCUGAGCUACAACCUUCUAUAGUGAAUGAGACAAAAAAUGUCUUUGCUUGGGAAGUAAACUAAUUCUGUCACUACCAAUUGAUUAAGCUAUUCACUUUCUGUACAAUAGAAGAUGUUUAAACCCAGACAACUUUUAGAGAAAUACUUGUGACCUUCUCUUGUUAGGUUAAACCACGGAAGUGGCCAGCAGUUAAAUUUGACAUUUUAUCGCUUCAGUAGGCCUACUCUGACUGGAGUGGAAAGGUAGGCCUAACUUUUGGAGGUACCAUACUCACAUUGCUAAUGACAAGUCAGAUUUAAUUAUUUUCAAACAGGGACAGUUUCGUUGCAAACAAGACACACUGAUUUGGCAUUGGAGAAAUAUGAUCAGAUGAACACAUAGACCUAUCUCUGUCCAUUCUUUAAAAUAUGUCAUAUGUAAAAUAACAUUAAAUUGCAUGAAAUGUUUAUGACAGGCAAUUUUUUCUCAGACCUGCAAAUACAUUCAUGCAAUGCUUUUAUUAUAAAGGAGAUAAUUCCACCCAUACUCUUGUCCACAGUGUUCUGUGAACCCACAACCUUCUGGCCCACAGCCCUGUACGAAUCAAAAUUCCUGCGUUGCCAUGUAAUGCUUACAGGAUGAAUAACGGAUUCUAAAAGGCUCUGAUCUGUCCAAGAAGGGAGGGUACAUGCACAGGACUGGAUGAGCAAUGCAAUGACUUCAGUAUCAGAGACCCUCAAGCAGUAGAAGCUGGUGGAAGGAAGAAUGGGAGGACGGCUGGGCUCAUUGUGAUCACACCGCCCUCAGGUAGUGAAGUCAUC
ensembl:lncRNA